UCAGUAGCGUUAGAGUCAGCUUACUACAAUGCCCAUACAAAUAUAAUCUCAGAGGCUUACAAUUUGUCAGGUACAGAACUCAGCAGACAUGAGCAUUCUGAAUAACGGCUGCUUAAUUGCUUAAAGUGGCCCUACGGUAGAAGAUUACAGUGGAAAGUUACGCCAGAUAUUUUCGGAUUUUUAGACGGGAAAGCGAGUUCUUCCAAAGGAACAUCAUAACGUCGACUGAAAUAGGAUUGACUGUUUCAACAAAUUCACUAUCAACGAUGAGCCAAAUACACUCUAGAAGCCGUUCUGCAGGUCUAAAAAAGUAAUCGAAUUGCAGUAGUUCUGAGUGGAUGGGAUGAUGGUUCUUCAACGUGAGCUGUUAUACGACUUUGAAGGGAAGAAAGACAUCGCUGCAGCUUAUCGAUUACUCUUGAAAAAGUCUCGUUAACUAUGCGAUCGUGCUGAUUACCGUUCCAAAACCAUGUUACCGAUCGGAUAUUUUAUUAGAUGGUGUAUAGUCAUUCUACAUGGGCAGCCGUCGACAAAUUUAGAAAGUCUACAAAAUGACUAAUAAUUACAUCGAUAACGGUAGAACAUGACUUUCGGUCAGCAUGGGCAUUUCUUGUAUAAUCCGUACUGGCUACUGAAAGGGCUGCACUAGGAACCGUUGUCGUCACAGAUGAACCAGCCGAAUCCGGCUUUCAUUUCUAAAAUGUGGGCCGCUCAACAAACGGUGACGUCUCGUUCUUUCAUCGAAGACAAAGCAGGGAAGAAAACGCACGAUAGCUUCUGUGGAGAAAGGUUCGUCCAUUUUCUCCGGAUAGGAACAUCUUCACUGAUGUCUUGGCAUGGUUUCCCAUCGCAUGGAGGUUCUCUAGUGCCUGCGUAUAUUACAGCGGGAGCCGCUUACUUUACAGCGGGGGUUCCGACCCGAGCUGGCAAACCAUGCGUCCGGAGCUGGUUGUUCGGCCCCAUACUCUGAAAUAUUACAAAGAAUAUUCUAAAUUGAGCGACCGUUCUUCCCCACCUCACUAUAGCGCUGCGAAUGGGGGAACAGAGAUUUGAACACGGCCAAAACAGGGUUCUGGACAAGAUCUUCUAAAGUGAGCCCGAAUGAACAACGCGCUAAAUUAAAUUGACCUUUUCAAGCAUUUAGGAGCUAGAAUGAUCUGUACAGAAGUACGUGACAUUGCCUGCAAUAUGUUCAGUAGCGACUGUCUAAUAACCGCACAAAUAUUAGUUGGUGAUCGCCUAUAAAGCCAGCAAGGGUUCGGUAGCUAGCUCCGUCAAGGAUGUAUGAUAGAAAGAACAAUAUAACUAAACGUACGCUUAGUAAUCUGGACCGACAAGACUGACUAAGGAAGCUGUUGCCUCUUCAAAUAGACUUCGAACCGGGAAAACAAACUUCGUAUUGGAACUAAGUAAACUAGCAAAUAAUCAGGAUACGUAU